CACCAUCUUCCAACCUGCGCGUCGCAGUUAUGGACUCUGGUGAACUGCGAGGGUGUCUCGAAAUGUCUCGAAAAUCACGUUCUCCACUCUGCUCCACUCCCCUGGUGCAGUCACGUUUAAUUAUAAGAACAAAUUUAUUGUAUAAUAUUAUACAUACACUUCAUGCUAGAAGUAUUAUUAUGUAUACUUAGUGUAUUAAUACCAUGUUAAUGGUUUUAUAUAAUGUAUAUGUAAAUUGAAUACUUACAAUCUUCUUCUUCUUCUUUUCAUUUUCAUCCAGGUGUCUUGUUGCUCUAUUUUAACACUUAAAUGACCGCAUAUUAUUUCCCGUAGUUUUACUCUAAGACUGGCGAUUUUCUCGUUUGGAAAUGAA